ACCGUAUAGGCUCGCCACGUGACUGAAAUGUGUUUAUCUCGCCCUGGAGAAGCCAGGCUGCGUGCAGAGGCCAAGCUCGCUUUCGCGGCACAGGCACAACUCGUGUGGCCGCGAUCGGGGCUGGGCCCCGCGAGUGAGCAGAGACCACUUCUGUUUGCUUUGCUGUCGCUUCGGCGCUUAUCAUUUGCCUUGUCAUUCAUAAUCAACCUCUCCCCGUCCCCUCCCCCUCCCCCCCUGCCGCCGCCUUCUCCCCCAGGGUCAGUCGGGAAAAGACUCGGAAUCCAUCUGAGAAGUGAGAGGCGAAAGACCAGCUGCGAAAUGCCCCGCAGCUGUAGCCAGUGCUAGAACAGAGUGCCUUGGAACCAGAAAUCAAUGCUCCUGAAAUGAACAAGUGGACAACUUAUUAGGCUCAGUCACUCCACACACCGUCCCUUGAUAAGGAAUAGAUGAAAUAUGCGCUGGAGAAAGGACACAAUCGAGAAGGCCACACGUGCCCGCUCCUUAGCGGUGUGGCAAGGUAAUUCUGCAGGGUGUAGCUGGCCACACGAACAUCCCUGGUCAGGGCAGGGGCUGUGACAAGGCACUCGCGGACUAUCUCGGGUUAGAUGGCGAUAAAUAGAGCAAGCGUCAGGAGAAUGGCUCCAGAAGUCAUUGAUAAAGGUGUCCGGUUUCCCUGCUUCUCCAGAAAGCACAACAGACAGGUUCAGCGAGAUCACGUAAUCGUGGCAUCUCUGCCUAGAAACAGUCGCGCUAAUUUUGCAUUUUUACCAUCCACGGGAAGGAAAAAUACCUGUCCUCCUGCAAUGCAAAUCGUUACGCAAAUAGAUCUGCGGGCGCACACCGAGCCGCUGCCUCCCUGACCUCCCAGCGGAGAGUCGGUGGCCCUGGAUUCAGAGCGGCCAGCUCUCAGCAGCACGCCCAGAAAGCAUACAGUAUCGUGCAAACUCCUCGGCAGCCGCUCGCAACUCGCUGCUGGCUGAGAAAAGUCCGAGCAGGAGUCUGCGGUUAAUCUUCGAGGCCUUCAUGCAUCCCUGGCGAGCAGCGCCCCAGCGCUAAGUGCAAUUAACAUAACAGACACUAAAAUAGGAGAGAGCGGCGCUGAAUUUAAUUUGCAGGCUUAAAAAAAAAAAAAAACUUAACACUUGGAGCAGUCUGGUGAUGAACGCAGGGAGAGAGGUUGAAGGCGGUGGCGACGGAGGAGCCCUUCUGCCUCGGAGAGGGACCGCGGCGAGUCCCGCGAUCCCGUUCCGGGAGCCCGGGCCACCUCUGUGCGCGCAGCGCCAUAAAACACUUCCAGGCAGGUAAACUCCUGCGGCGGGAGAGCCUCCGGCACGGCCGCGCCGGC
rnacentral:lncRNA from 1 species